rnacentral:lncRNA from 1 species
AGCACAGCAACCCCCAGCUCCACCCCGAAGCCAUUUUUUUUUCUCCCAGCCGACACCAACCUCCCCUGCACGCCGGCCCCUGUUUCUUCUCCAACCGGCCAAACCAUCAACGCCGUCCGCCAACCGCAGCAGCUCCUCCCCGCAGACCAGCGGCCAUGUCAGCUCCACCGUAGCUUCAACAGCCCGAGCUCAGCCUCACGCCGGACAGGGACCAGACGAGGGGCCAGACCGUCCACAGAAACCGAACCGACCCCCUCCUGGCCGACCCAUCCCAGCAGCUGCUUCUCCCCGCAGACCCGUGAUCAUCAACGCCGCCACAAACCAGAUCGGCCUCCAGCAGCGCCGUCCGCACCCGAAGCAGAGGAGAAAAAGAACACAGCAGACCUAUUUGUAGAUCCGAAACGGAGAAGAAGACUUGAGAACAGAUCCGGGAAGGAGCAAGAAAAAUUAAAAUCUACUGUUGUUGCGUUUUUUGGACUUUGCAGGUGGCUUUACUUCACACCUCCGGCGACGACAGGAUGAUGGGAAGAAGUCGACCUGGACCCCCCUACUGUUGGUUGUCUUCUGUGGCGGCGCGUGAACCCACGCGCCG